UACAGAGGGUGCGAGCGUUAAUCGGAAUUACUGGGCGUAAAGCGCACGUAGUCGGCUUUGCAAGUCGGGUGUGAAAUCCCCGGGCUCAACCCGGGAACUGCGUCCGAUACUGGAAGGCUUGAAUCCGGGAGAGGGAUGCGGAAUUCCAGGUGUAGCGGUGAAAUGCGUAGAUAUCUGGAGGAACACCGGUGGCGAAGGCGGCAUCCUGGACCGGCAUUGACGCUGAGGCGCGAAAGCCAGGGGAGCAAACAGG
rnacentral:rRNA from 1 species